ACUUACCUGGCAGGGGAGAUACCAUGAUCACGAAGGUGGUUUUCCCAGGGCGAGGCUUAUCCAUUGCACUCCGGAUGUGCUGACCCCUGCAAUUUCCCCAAAUGUGGGAAACUCGACUGCAUAAUUUGUGGUAGUGGGGGACUGCGUUCGCGCUU
rnacentral:snRNA from 1 species